ACCUACGGUCCGGUAAGCUCUCCAAAAUCCGUCAUUUAGUAACCAUUUUAGUCGUAACAAGGUAACCAUAACUCAGGCAAACUUGAGCUUUUACCGGAUACGCCCUUUUGGGGAAAGGUUUACUGCCGUAAGAUCGGCCCGCGCCUGAUUAGCUAGUUGGUGGGGUAAUGGCCUACCUAGGCGACGAUCACUUGCUGGUCUGAGAGGAUGAUCAGCCACACUGGGACUGAGACACGGCCCAGACUCCUACAGGAGGCAGCAAUGGGAAAUUUUGAACAAUUGUCGCAAGCCUGAUCCAGCCAUGCCGCGUGAGUCAUGAAGGCCUUAGGGUUGUAAAGUUCUUUUAUCCCGGACGAUAAUGACGGUACCGGACGAAUAAGCCCCGGCUAACUUCGUGCCACCAGCCGCGGUAAUACGAAGGGGGCUAGCGUUGCUCGGAAUCACUGGGCGUAAAGGGCGCGUAGACGGCGUUUUAAGUUGGGUGUCAAAGCCGGUGGCUCAACCACAGAAUUGCCUUCGAUACUGGGACGCUUGAGUGUGGUACAGGUUGGUGGAACUGCUAGUGCAGAGGUGAAAUUCGUAGAUAGUCGCACGAACACCCUCGGCGAAGGCUGCCAACUGGAUCAUCUCUGACACUAAGGCGCAAAACCGUGCGGAGCAAACGCGAUUAUAUACCCUGGUAGUCCACACCGUUACAAUUGAUGCCAGCCGUAGGUGGCUUGCCUUUCGGUGCUGCAGCUAACGCUUUGAGCAUCCGCCUGGGAAGUACGAUCGCUAGAGUAAAACUCCAAGGAAUUGACCGGCGCCCCCACUAGCGGCGGAGCAUGUGCUUAAUUCGAAGCAUCGCGCACAACUUUACCAUCCUUUGACUAACAGGCAAACCAAAUCGAUUUGGUGUCCCUUCGGGGACUUGCAGAAAGUUGCUGCAUGUGGUUGUCAGUUCGUGCGGUAAAUGUUGAUUUAAGUCCCACAUCUAGCCCAUCCCCCUUCCUAAUU
rnacentral:rRNA from 1 species